GUGAGGGUCAGGGUGAAGUGGCGGUGCUCGCGGAUCGGGCGCCUUCUCCACAGCGGCAGAGGCACGGAGCGUAACGGACAGAAGGAGUGCAGAAGCUGAAAGUAUGGAGAUGUAGUUGUUGAAGAUCCUCUUCACAAAAAGUAUGUGUCUGGCUGUGCCUAGUAAGUUCUUUAGAGGUGAGAUCUGGGGCAGGAAAAAUACCGAUUUGAUAAUUUAUGCGUAGCGAUUACUGUGCUGUGACUUGUCUUUUGAAAUCAAGGUAUCAGCUUGGAGGUUUAUUUUAAGGCAUGCUACAUUUUUACAUGUUUUCGGAGCAGAAAGGUAUAAUCAAGUGCAUUAAUGUGACUAGGAGGAGUUGGCUUUGGAUGUAGACACAUUCGAAAAUAUAAUCCACUAUCCCUAGCUUAAAGUACACAUUGCCAGUACUUUGCCUGCCGAACUAGCAGCAUCUGAAUGCAGAAAUUUCUCCCGGAUAUUCUGUGCAAGGGGAGUGUCUUUUUCAAUAAACAUGUGAGUACUAAGAGAAAUGUGCAGUUGCAGGAGCCGGUGGAAGUUAAUAUCAGCAGCUUUACAACUCCUGGGAAAGCAUCCUGUUGUUUAGUGAUGGUUGCUGUCUUGUUUGUGUUUCGAGUAGCAUUAUUAAACUGCCUCAAACUUGUUUUUACAGGGGAAAAGCCCUCUUGAAAGAAGAUGGGGCUAAAUUGCACAUGUGAAUUCUAGGAGUAGCUGUGACUAAAUAUGUUAACUUUCAUUUAGGGUAGGGUGGAUGUGUUUAAUCAUCUGGAAUUGAUGCCUUUUGGGAGCAGUAAUAUUUCUGGUUGUGAGGUAGGGACUAGCGAAAGGUAAUUUUAGGCUAGGUCUUAACCUCGAUUUUUAAACCAAGUUAAAACUUGGAGCUUUGAUGAGAGCUUCUGCAUUCCAUCUGAUCUUGAUGAAGAGGGGCUGGAACCCAGCAUGCCUCGACUGGUUCUGUACAGACAGACGCAGUUAGGAUCUCAUUUUGUGCUGGUCCUCUUUUUGGGCUGUCACUAAGCCUUGAGGUACUUCAGCAAUGAUUUUGGUAGUUGAGUGGCUGUACUGCACCUUCAGGGAUGGCACCUCUGCUCUCAAAGUGUGUUAGAAAGGUGGUUGCAGUGAGUGUACCUCUGCUGCAGAAGCUGCAGGUAAGUUUCUGAAGUCUGGAAAAACGGAUGUUGAAACUACAGCUUAAAUUUUGGUGUCUGUGUGAAUGUAAAGCGUUUUAAUGUAUGAGUAAGUCAAUAAAGAGAGAUGAUUGGCUGCA